CANNCUCGUACGGGNGGNAGCAGUGAGGAAUAUUGCACAAUGGAGGNAACUCAUGAUGUANCCAUGCCGCGUGCAGGAUGAAUGCCCUAUGGGUUGUAAACUGCUUUUAUACAAGAAGAAA
rnacentral:rRNA from 1 species